GCCGUCGUAGCUCAGCCUGGAAGAGCACUCGGCUGAAGACCGAGCUGUCGUGAGAUCAAAUCUCACCGGCGGCA
rnacentral:tRNA from 1 species